UUUGCAAGUCACGCUGUCACAUGCCUCCUGAGUCCAGCUGUGCUGCAGCUGCUGCCUCCCCUGCAUCCGUUCAUCUUGCUCUUGGAUCAAAAGCAUGAGCACGUUGGCCUGAACUGAUUUGGCCUCAGCCCAGCUGUUUGUCCCCCCAUUGUCAUCAGGAUGUUUACAGACCUGCUGUUCUCGACGUUCUUGUUUCAUGAUCGCACUUGGGUCUGAAGAGUAUUUGGCCACAUGGCCCUGGCCGACGCAGGCCAUUCGGCUGGCUCUUCUCUGUGAUUGAAACUUGUCAGUGGCGUUUGUUUCAAAUGUUCCUUUCCGGGAACUGUGCUGGAAGACGAGUUGGCAGUGAGUGUGAUGGUGUGGAAAUGAACUUAUGGGUCAAACCAGGGUCCUUUGCUGGCUGACCCCUGACUACGAGAACAUGAGAAUCGAGAUGUCUCCUCUCCAGAUGCUUACUCCAGGGUGAAUUGCCCAGUGGGCUUGAGGAAGAAGAAGAGCCCUUAG